rnacentral:rRNA from 1 species
GAUGAACGCUGGCGGCGUGCCUAAUACAUGCAAGUCGAGCGAACGGACGAGAAGCUUGCUUCUCUGAUGUUAGCGGCGGACGGGUGAGUAACACGUGGAUAACCUACCUAUAAGACUGGGAUAACUUCGGGAAACCGGAGCUAAUACCGGAUAAUAUUUUGAACCGCAUGGUUCAAAAGUGAAAGACGGUCUUGCUGUCACUUAUAGAUGGAUCCGCGCUGCAUUAGCUAGUUGGUAAGGUAAAGGCUUACCAAGGCAACGAUGCAUAGCCGACCUGAGAGGGUGAUCGGCCACACUGGAACUUAGACACGGUCCAGACUCCUACGGGAGGCAGCAGUAUGGAAUCUUCCGCAAUGGGCGAAAGCCUGACGGAGCAACGCCGCGUGAGUGAUGAAGGUCUUCGGAUCGUAAAACUCUGUUAUUAGUGAAGAACAUAUGUGUAAGUAACUGUGCACAUCUUGACGGUACCUAAUCAGAAAGCCACGGCUAACUACGUG